CAGGAAGCCGGUGCGAGUCCGGCGCGGUCCCGCCACUGUGACCCCCGUCGCGGGGGAGCCAGACACUG
rnacentral:ncRNA from 1 species